CAGCUCGUGCGUCACGACGCCGCCAGCUGAUCGGAGACUGGAGCCGGUGUGUGCUGGGCGAUGGGAAGAGACAGAGCGGUCGGCCGUGCGGAGAGGACGCAGUGAUUUUGCUCCCCUGUCCUCAGCAACCCCCACACCCAGCAUCAGGAACCUGGGCCUCCCACACUCUCACCUGGCUGAGCCGCAGUAGUUCUUCAGUGGCAAGCUUUAUGUCCUGACCCAGCUAAAGCUGCCAGUUGAAGAACUGUUGCCCUCUGCCCCUGGCUUCGAGGAGGAAGAGGAAGAGCAGCUUCUUUGCCUACCAUCUGGAAGUGUGUCCCUCCAGCACUGGGCUCAUGGCUCUGCUAUCUUCACCCAAAAUGGAGCCUCAGAGGUGAGGAAGGGCAGCCUGGAAACACAGAGGCAGGAAGAAGACCAGUGAAGGACCUGGCCUGGAGCCACAAGGGCCUGUCCCAGACAUUGGUCAGAGGGGCACACAGAAGCCUGGAGAACACCAGGAAACAGAACAGCCAGCCUCCGUGAAAGACAAGCUUCCAGCCAUCUCCUCUCCAGACCUACUUCCCUUGGAGAUGAAGACCCAUAAUGAAGUAUGGUCCUGUCUCUUCUCUACCCCGCAGUUUCUAUAUAAUGACCCUGGAGGAGCAUGAGCCACCUCUGAAAGGAAAUACAGAGCAAAUUCAAAGAGAGACUCAAAUGUGUAACACUAUGGAAAAACAUAGUUUUGGCUGGGGCUGUAGCGGAGUUGGGAGAAUGCUUGUUCAGCAUGCACAGAGUCCUGGUUCUAUUUGCAUUGCCUAGACCUGGGUGUGGUGGCACAGGCCUAUAAUCCCAGCACCCUGGAGGUGGUGGUAAGAGGAUCCUACAUCCAAGGUCAUCCUCUGCUACACAGUGAGUUCUGAGCCAGCCUGGACUACAUAAGACACUUGUCUCAAAAAAAAAAAAAAAAGCAAUUAAAAGAAGGCUGACAUUGCUGGAAGCAUUUCCCCUCAUCAUGGUACAAGUCAGUGGAGGCCGAAGGAACACUCCCAUACGUUGUGGGUAGUGGCGUCAAACAUUGUAAGAGAUGUCUUUUGGCCUUGUAAUUUUGUGGUUCUAGAAAUGUAUCUUAAAAUCAGAGUUUGGUUAUAAAAUGCUCAUCUCAGGGAUGAUGUUUGGAAAUCCAUUCUUUUUCUGCUGUUUGGAAAUCUAUUCCUUUUCUGCUGUCAUGAAAAUUCGCAGUGGGGGGUUGCUUGAGUGAAUUAUAUUCAUCCCAGUGGUGGAGUACUGCACAGCCAUCCAGAGUCCUGCAGAAGAAAAAUUGACUGGAAAGAAAAAUGCUCUUUGAAUAUUAAAAAGAUUAUAAAAAGUGUGAGUUUUGUGACCUUAAUUUUGUCUUUAAACAAUUUGUUUUAAAAUAUGAGUGCAUACUUGUAAUACAUAGACUAAAAAAAAAGACUCAAAGUAGACUCAAAAUGUUAGGAGUGGUUAUUUUUGAAUGGUGGGAUAGAGCAAUUGUGAGUUUCCCCCUUGUUUUCCAGUCAUUCUAAGUUUUCUAUACUAAUUGUAUAUUGCUUUUGCAUGUUAAAUAAAUGAUAACGAAAGGUAAA